rnacentral:rRNA from 1 species
GAUCCUGCCGGCGGCUACUGCUAUCAGGUUUUGACUAAGCCAUGCGAGUCAAGGGGUCGUAAGACACCGGCGUACUGCUCAGUAACACGCGGACAAUCUACCCUUAGGUGGGGCACAACCUCGGGAAACUGAGGCUAAUUCCCCAUAGUUGCCAUAUGCUGGAAUGCUUUGGCGAUGAAAGAAUUUCGCCUGAGGAUGAGUCUGCGACCUAUCAGGUCGUAUGUGGUGUAAAGGACCACAUAGCCUAAGACGGGUACGGGCCAUGAAAGAGGGAGCCCGGAGAUGGACUCUGAGACACUAGUCCAGGCCCUACGGGGCGCAGCAGGCGCGAAAACUGUGCAAUGCGCGAAAGCGCGACACGGGAAGCCUGAGUGCCUUAACCAUGUUAAGGCUUUUCUUGAGCCUAAAAAGCUCAAGGAAUAAGAACUGGGUAAGACGGGUGCCAGCCGCCGCGGUAACACCCGCGGUUCGAGUGGUAGUCACUUUUAUUGAGCCUAAAGCGUUUGUAGCCGGAUUUGUAAAUCUCCAGGAAAAGACUUCAGCUCAACUGAAGAAAUUUUGGAGAGACUGCAAAUCUAGGGACCGGGUGAGGUUGAAUGUACUUCUGGGGUAGGGGUAAAAUCCCGUAAUCCCGGAAGGACGACCGGUGGCGAAGGCGUUCAACUAGAACGGAUCCGACGGUGAGGAACGAAGGCUAGGGGAGCAAACCGGAUUAGAUACCCGGGUAGUCCUAGCUGUAAACACUGCCCACUUGGUGUUGCAUCUCCGGUAAGGGGGUGCAGUGCCGUACCGAAGGUGUUAAGUGGGCCGCUUGGGGAGUAUGGUCGCAAGGCUGAAACUUAAAGGAAUUGGCGGGAGAGCACCGCAACGGGAGGAGCGUGCGGUUUAAUUGGAUUCAACGCCGGAAAACUCACCGGAGGCGACCUAUGUAUGAGAGUCAACCUGAUGAGUUUACUCGAUAGUAGGAAAAGGUGGUGCAUGGCCGUCGUCAGCUCGUACCGUAGGGCGUUCACUUAAGUGUGAUAACGAGCGAGACCCCCAUCUUCAAUUGCUAAUUCAAUCGUGAGGUUGGAAGAACUUUGAAGGGACCGCCAGCGCAGAGCUGGAGGAAGGAGGGGUCGACGGCAGGUCAGUACGCCCCGAAUCUUCCGGGCUACACGCGCGCUACAAAGGACAGGACAAUGGGCUGCGACCUCGAAAGGGGAAGCCAAUCCCGAAACCUGUUCGUAGUUAGGAUUGAGGGCUGUAACUCGCCCUCAUGAAUCUGGAUUCCGUAGUAAUCGCGGGUCAACAUCCCGCGGUGAAUAUGCCCCUGCUCUUUGCACACACCGCCUGUCAAACCAUCCGAGCUGGUGUUGGAUGAGGGUUAGUUCGAAAGGGUUGAUUCGAAUCUGAUGUCAGUGAGGAGGGUUAAGUCGUAACAAGGUAACCGU